rnacentral:rRNA from 1 species
AUUGAACGCUGGCGGCGUGCUUAACACAUGCAAGUCGAUCGGUAACGCGGGGGCAACCCUGGCGACGAGAGGCGGACGGGUGAGGAACGCUUGGGAAUCUGCCUAUCAGCGGGGGACAACACGGGGAAACUCGUGCUAAUACCGCAUACGCUCUACGGAGGAAAGCCGGGGACCGCAAGGCCUGGCACUGAUAGAUGAGCCCAAGCCGGAUUAGCUAGUUGGCGGGGUAACGGCCCACCAAGGCGACGAUCCGUAGCUGGUCUGAGAGGACGAGCAGCCACACUGAGACUGAGACACGGCCCAGACUCCUACGGGAGGCAGCAGUGGGGAAGAUUGGACAAUGGGGGAAACCCUGAUCCGGCGACGCCGCGUGGGUGAGGAAGGCCUGCGGGUUGUAAAGCCCUUUCGGUAGGGACGAAAGCUCUCGACCUAACACGUCGGGAGGUUGACUUAACCUACAAAAGAAGCACCGGCUAACUCUGUGCCAGCCGCCGCAGUAACAC